ACUGCUGCAUGAAGUCUGGUGCCAAUCACUGCAGCUGAAAGACAAAAUGAAGAUAAGUGGCAUCUCCAGCACACUGCUCAGAAUGACCCUCCCUAAGGCUCGUAACACCGAAGCGUUGUAGGGUGGACUCUUCUUGCUUUGUCAGGGCUGUUGUCUGCAUCUUCAGCCGCUGGUGUUUACACUUUAUUUCGUCAGGACAGUCUGGGGCUGGAGGUUGAUUCCAUCAUCCACACAUCUAAACUACACUAAUAAGAUUACAUCAGGGUUUUGUAAAAAUGAAGGUUGCAGCAAGCUUUUACAAAAUGGAAUGAACAUUUUAAAAUGGAGUUUGGGACAAGUUAAAAUGGAGUUGGAGUUACAAUAUGGACAAGUGUAAGGAACGACAAACAGUGAGCAGAAGUUACAGUGUUGAAGCCGUGCAAGUUUCAGCGAUUUAAGCAGCAAUUGGAUUUAAAGUGAAACUCAAUUAGCCAGUUAUUGGGGUAACCGGUUUUAUGAAUGACUGUUGUUUCAUUCAUAAAACUUUGCUUAUGUAGUUAUAUUAAUAAAGUGAACAAUUAAAAACAA